rnacentral:rRNA from 1 species
GACGAACGCUGGCGGCGUGCUUAACACAUGCAAGUCGAACGGAAAGGCCCUGCUUUUGUGGGGUGCUCGAGUGGCGAACGGUGAGUAACACGUGAGUAACCUGCCCUUGACUUUGGGAUAACUUCAGGAAACUGGGGCUAAUACCGGAUAGGAGCUCCUGCUGCAUGGUGGGGUUGGAAAGUUUCGGCGGUUGGGGAUGGACUCGCGGCUUAUCAGCUUGCUGGUGGGGUAGUGGCUUACCAAGGCUUUGACGGGUAGCCGGCCUGAGAGGGUGACCGGCCACAUUGGGACUGAGAUACGGCCCAGACUCCUACGGGAGGCAGCAGUGGGGAAUAUUGCACAAUGGGCGGAAGCCUGAUGCAGCAACGCCGCGUGCGGGAUGACGGCCUCGGUUGUAACCGCUUCGCCUGUGACGAAGCGUGAGUGACGGUAAUGGGUAAGGAAGGCACCGGCUAACUACGUGCCAGCAGCCGCGGUAAU